AUGCCUUGCAUUGGAGAGUUCAACCUUGUUCGUGUUCUGAACCUUCAACUGUCUGGCCAUUAUAAUGGUGACCAAGACCUGACCAUAGACCUCACUGGGAUAUCCGAACUGUUCCAUCUUAUAUAUCUGAAGAUUGCUUGUGAUGUCUGCAUAAAACUUCCAAACCGUAUGAGAGGGCUGCAGUGUUUGGAAACUCUGGAUGUUAUGGAUACACCAAGAGGCACUCAUGUUCCAUGGGACAUUAUAUACCUCACACGCUUGUUGCACCUCAGUCUUCCUCCUGACACAAAUCUGCUGGAUUGGUCUUUCGAUGACGAUCUGAGCCUUUGCAGGCCGAACCACCUGCAGGAUCUUUGCAUUUCUACACCGCCUUCUUCUGAUUCUGACCAUCUGGAGAGAAACAUGGGGUUGCCUGCCCUCACUGCUCUGUCGUUGUAUGUGGAGAAGUCGCCUAAUAUCAAGAUAAUCUUUGGCACAGCUGCUGGAUUCACAGCUCUCAAGUACCUGAAGCUGAGGUUCAUGAGUGGAAUAGCUUGGCUAAUAUUUGAGGCGGACGCAAUGCCUAAUCUCUGGAAGCUCAGGCUAGUUUUCGAUGCCAUCCCCCAAAUGGAAAAACAACUUGAUCUUUAUUCAGAGGGUGACCGGUGGAAAAAAUACCGGCAUGGUAAUGCAUUAAUCAGCGUCGAGCAUAUGCCACGCCUUAGAGAGGUCUCCGCUAAAUUUGGGGGUGCAGCUGCUGAUCUAGAGUAUGUCUCCAGGAACUGCGUAGUUAGUAAUCAUCGGAGCAAUCCUAUAAUGGACGUGCAAUUAGUGGAUUCUGGUUCCCGUGGUGCUAAAAGGAUAUCAUCGAGGUCACUGGAGUCAUCUUCGCGCCUGCAUCCUCCAGGUGUAGCGGGUGGAGAGCAGCAGGAUGUGGUCUCGUGGAGCAAUACCAUUGGUGCGAUAGGUCGUGACCUCUUCAUCUAUUGCCUCCACCGUCUGUCCAGGUGGGACUAUGGCUCCAUCGCCUCCCUCAACCGCGACUUCAAUUUGGCGGUUCGCAGCGGGGACAUCUACCGCCUGCGUCGCAAGAAUGGGGUGGCGGAGCACUGGCUCUACCUCUCUAGCAAUCAUGAUUCCCACGAGUGGGAGGCUUAUGACCCGUCCACUGGGCGCUGGAUCCAAGUGCCCAACAUGCGAGCGUUUUGGAGGUCCAUCAUCUCGGGCUGGCAGUCGGUCGCUGUAGGAACCGAGCUGCUUGUGUUUGUAGACGGAAAGGCUGCCUUGAGAUAUAGCAUCCUUACCAAUUCAUGGACAGGGGUGGCUGAUGCGGUGAACAUCCCGCGGUACUCGUUUGGGUCAGCAAGUGUCGGUGAAAAGGCGUAUGUCGUGGGAGGCAUGGAUCUUUCUCUUAAUGUAUUGAGCUGCGCAGAGAUGUAUGACUCGGAGACACAUGCUUGGACACUCCUUCCCAGCAUGAAUAGGGCUAGGUCCAAAUGCUCUGGCGCGUUCAUGGAUGGCAAGUUCUAUGUGAUCGGUGGUCUUGCCGGUAGGUGGACGAAUGUAUUGACAUGCGGUGAGGAGUAUGACUUGAACCGGCGGUCAUGGAGGGUCAUCCACAACAUGUCUCUGGGGCUCAACGAGAUAAGCCACGGAGCUCCUCUGCUCCUUGCAGUUGUCAAGAAUGAGCUUUAUGCCGCUGAUUACAGUGAGAAUAAUGAUUUGAGGCAGUAUGAUAAGCUGGACAACAAGUGGAUCACUCUUGGAAAAUUGCCUGUACAGUCUAAGAAAAAUGGCUGGGACAUGGGUUUCCGAGCAUGUGGUGACCGGCUGAUUGUUAUUGGGCCUCCAAUCAACUCUACUGAUGAAAAGAUGGUUGAGCUUCAUUCAUGGAUCCCGGAUGAGCAACCGCCUGUGUGGAAUUUGGUUGCAACACGGCCAAUCAUGGGCUACGAGAUUCAGUGCGCCGUGAUGGGUUGCUGA
rnacentral:rRNA from 1 species